CUGACGGAGCACGCCGCGUGAGUGAAGAAGGUUUUCGGAUCGUAAAACUCUGUUGUAAGGGAAGAACAAGUACGUUAGUAACUGAACGUACCUUGACGGUACCUUACCAGAAAGCCACGGCUAACUACGUGCCAGCAGCCGCGGUAAU
rnacentral:rRNA from 1 species